AGAAAAAUAAUAACCAAAUAGGAGGAUGCUAUCUACUCAGCGAUGCCCUUCCCUCGCCCAGCCACAGCGCUUGCAGAUGGACCUAAAAAAUAUGGGUGUGAGAACAUAAACAUAGUUUCCAGUGGGUACGGCCACCAAAGGAAAAAUCUUGACCCACCAAGUUCAAAGGAGGCAACACAAACAUGGGUUAGUUCAAUAUUUAAUCAUAUAAAAAAUAACAAACUUAUGCCUCAAAUAUGAUCAUGCAACCUACUCGUGUGACGUAAAGUAUAUUUACUCAUUAGGUUCCACAUUGUAAUCAUGUCACCCGACUCACUCGUGAAUCAAUCAUCAGCGGAGUACUGCCAUUCUUUUGACAUAAAGCGGAGUAUUGUCAUCCUUUUAUCAUUGAGCGGACCAUGCCAUCCUUGUAUUAUAGAGCGGAGCACUACCAUCCUCAUGGCAUCGGGUGACAAAAUUGUCAAUCACCCCCGGCCAUCGGGUCGUUAGGAGUUACGGAGUUCCUUCUGUCAAGGUCACAAGGGUUAAACUCUAAAUCCUAUAUUGUCAACCUUUCUUUAUUCAUGUCAUUUUGUUCAAGUGGCAUGCUGUCCACUAUAUUUCUCCAACCUAUGUUCAAUGACAUUAAGUUUUUUAUAUUCACAUGUUGAGUUCUCUGCCAUCUUUAGAGAAUGUCAACCUACAUUUAUCACAUGCAUGUAUAUAUUCAUCUUCCAUACGUCGAUUGUAAGAUACAUUUUAAAUAGCAUAUGCCUCUAGCAUACAUUUCUAACAUUUACACUACCAUAUAACAGUAAAAUAGCUAAUAUAGUUAUUAUGCUCUAAACAUGAGAGGUGACCAAAUCACUUCGGUGCACACAACCCACCUUACCUCUUUACCACACUCCUAAUUGCUUGUUGUUACUUGCAAUUAACCUCGAAAUCUCGUCUGUAACUCCCAUUGUAGCAAAAAUAUUCAAAUUUUCUAUUUUGUAAGUACCCUGUUACUUUAAUAUUACUGAUAGUAAAAUUAGAAGUAGGCCAAAUUGUCAACAAAGCCCAAACACUGCUUUUUUAAAAAUUUAAUAAUUGCUUGGUUGCAAGUAGUUACUAGUAUAUUAUAGUGUUAAAUAUACAUAUAAAAUCAGCCAAAAUCAACAUUUAGAUCGUUGCAUGAAACAUCCCGCUUUUGCAUUUAAAUUAAAUUUCGCAUUUGAAAUUUUUAUGCGAUGAGUUUAAAUUAAAUUUGGCAUAUUAAACAUUUUAACACGAAUGUGAAAAUUUUAUUACAAAUUAAUCAAAGUCUUAGUAGAUAAGCGGUCAACCAACCGUUGACUCUGGUCAACCAACUGUUGACCACGGUCAACGGUGGAUAGCUGUAGAGCUAUUUCCACCCACCUCUCCACUCAGGCCCUGUUUGGAUACCUCUAAAAACGUAGCAUAGUUAAACUAUACUACGCCGGUAGGAAAAUAAUCCUAUGAAGCGUUUGGAAGAAAAAAAAAUGACGUAAUUUUUGGAGUAUAGUUAUACUAUACUCCAAAAAAUGGAGUAAACUUACAAUCCACUUUAACCAAAGGAAAAAAAUUCCACCAUUUUGGGCUCCCAAAGAUGUAUCAAUUUCUAAAUUUUAAAUUUCAACAUAAAAUUUUAAAUUUCAAAAUUUAAAAUUUUAAAAUUCAAUUUUAAUUUUGAUUUUAAAUUUUAAAUUUUAAAUUUCAAAUUUCAAAAAGUUCAAAUAUCAAAUUUCAAAUUUCAACUUUCAAAUUUCAAAUUUCAAAAAGUUCAAAUUUCAAAUUUCAAAUUUCAAAUUUCAAAUUUUAAUUUAAUUUUUAAUUUUUAAAUUUCAAUUUUCAAUUUUCAAAAUUUAAAUUUAAAAUUAAAUGUUAAAUUUUAAAUUUAUAAAUUAUUAAAUUUAAAAUUGAAAAUUUUAAUUAUAGAUUUUUUAAAUUUCAAUUUUUAAAGUUUAAAUGGUAUACUUUGAAUUUUAAAAUUUAAAGUUUCAAAUUUCAAAUUUUAAAUUUCAAAUUCCAAAUUUUGAAUUUCAAAUUUAAAACAUAAAAUCUAAUAUAAUUUUUUAAUUUUAAAUUUUAAUUUUAUAUUUUGAAUUUUGAAUUUUAAUUUUUAAAAUUUUAUUUUUGAAUUUUGAAUUUUGAAUUUUGAAUUUUAAAAUUUUAGAAAUUUAAUUGUUAUAAAUAAUGUGGAAUUAUAUGAUUUGUAUCCAAACAGCUUAAAAAUGAAGCUGUGGAAUUUUUUUAUAGUUAUAGGAUUCCGUAUUUCAUUUAGACCAAAACCAUAGAAUAAAAAUUUCAUAGAGUUUUUUAACUAUGCAUCCAAACAGGACCUCAUACUCUCUCUCUCUUUCCGUCCCCCUCGUAAGUAAAGAAGUAUGGGAGAAGCUACCCCUUCACCAACCCCCCCCCUCUCUCUCUCUCUCUCUCUCUCUCUCUCUCUCUCUCUCUAUAGAUAUCCCUCUCUCUUUUGGCUUUUUUCUUAUUUUCUCCCCCCACAAGGAGAAAGGCGCGUAAGUAGAAUCGCCACACGAACAGAACCUCUCUUAUACAUGUAUGACGUGCGUCAAAAUAUAAAACACAUGUAUGAUAAGUAUUUUAUCAAGAGAGAUAAACUAGGAACAUAAGUUUUUGAAAAGCUUUUAGCAUUUACAAAAUAUGUAGAUUUUUUCGAGUACAUCCACCCACCAAUAGCUAUAAGUUUAGUUACAUAUUUUAUGCUUCCAAAAAUUACAUUUUCAUUGUUCCCAAAGUACAAAAAGUAGAGCUAUCCAUUCUAGACUGAAGCACGUCCUCACUCCGUAUCACAUAUCAUCGAUCAGCUGACGUACUUGAAAAGAAAAAAAAAAAAAAAAAAAAAAAGGUAAGAAACUAAUAAAAAAAAUUUCAGUGUGUGCAACACCCUACCGAGGGCAAACUGUCCCGACCAGGGCAAUAAAGAACAGCAAAAUUGUAGAGUAUAUAAGCGACUUAUAAGCAACAAUUAAUAUAUAUUAUAUUAUAUGUAAGGAUAUGUGAUACAUCUAGCAUCUGUGUGUGGCAUACAAGGUUCUACUCAUUCAUAUAUAUACAUUGAUAGUGCGGAGACCAAGCUGCAUUGGUGGUCCUCUUUAAGCCACUAAGUUAAAAUCAGCAUAUUCCCGAUUAAAGUGGAUAGUAGUGAAACAUUGCUUUUCUUCUUCUUCUUCUUCUUCUUUUUUCCAACACAGCUUAAUUUUUCUUUCCUGUAAGAUACCACAAAAUAUCUAUUCGAAAUGGUGAGCAGCUACAUGCCACCGCUAGAGACGUCAUUGGGUACAGAUAUCCGACCCGCUAACGUCCCCUACUAUAUAAUAAAAUUACAUAAUACUUAAUUUGACUUAUGAGUACUGUUGAUUAAACAGGCGGCCUUCAUUAGCCCAUGUUCUUGGCAAUCAAAGCUCCAAUUCGUCAACCACCAUCCAACAGUAUAAACCUCUCUCUCUCCCUCUCUCUCUCUCUACCAUAGGGGCUUCAACAAAAAGCCCGUGAUAUUGAUAUUUAUUAUGGUCCCAAAGGAGCGCUUUCAAAAAAGUACAUAAACAUAAGAUGCUAUAUGACAUUUACUUUAUCAAUAUUUAGUCAAAAAAAAAAAAAGAUUGUAAAAUUUAAUUAUAAUAACUUAAAAUAUUUAAAUGAUAAGUUAUAAGAAACUAAAGUUUCAUUACUAAAGUAUCACGCGUCCCAUAGUUGAGGACCAAAAAUUUAUCGUAAAUAGAAAAACAGCAUGCUAUAUAGAAGGCACCCCUGAAACGGUGAAAGUGUGGCCUAACAAAAAGCCAGCAAUGAUGACGUGGACUAAAAACUUUUCUGAACUAAGAUCAUUUUGAAGUGGUUGUUUAAUUUUAUCAACAAAUCUUUUAAUUUAUUUAACUUCAAUUAGAUAAUAAUGCUUUAACUUCAAAUUUGAAUACGUCCUCUAUCUUUACAAAUUUAGUUAGUAUACUUCAUACGAUUCUCGUAACUAUAAAUUUAUUAAAUAACUAGCUUAAAUUUUAAAGUCAAAGUAUUAUAUUAAAUAAAUUGAAAGGUUAAACAGUAAAAUUAAAAUUUUGAAAAAUUAAAUAGUCGAUUCAAAAUAAUCCACAGUUCCCAUAAAUUUCUAUACAUCUUAACUUAUGUUCUUCACCAACCCACUCCAUAUAUACUUUUUUUGGGGGGAUAAUAUCUAAUAUACCCCUCAAAACUUCUGAAAUAUGUUAUAUACCUUUCUUUUUUUUUGUUUCAAAUAUACCUCUUAUAUAUUUCUCUAUUAUUCAAAAAUAACCUUGCUGUUGAUACCCGUUAAGUUAUCUCGGGUUAAACCUGAGUUAAAUUUCUAUCAGAGUUAAAAAGUGAGCAAUUGCUUGUAUACCCCCUACAAGGUUUCCGGCUUUCUUAUUACCUCUCUUAGAAGACUAAUAUUAAAAAUAUUCUUUUAUCAUUCUGAGUCCUUUCAAAUAUAACCCCUAGAGUUAGAUUAUGUUAGUGAAUUAUUAGAAAUAACCGUUAUCUCUCUAAAAUUACUAUUUUACUCUUUCAAAUAUCAUUUACUUUUUUUUAUUUACCACUAAGUUAGAGGCACAAAGAGGUAUUUUGACUUCUUCCCUUCAAAUAUAUUCUUCUAUCAUCACCAACUUUUCUUAUUUGCACUUAAGUCAGGGGCAAAAGAAGUAUUUUGAUUAUUUUUAUUUUAACUCUGGUAGAAAUUUAACCCGGGUAUAAUUUGAGAUGACUUAACGAAUAUUAACAGUAGUGAUAUUUUUAAAUAACGGAGAACUAUAUGAGGGAUAUAUUUAAACCAAAAAAUAGAAGUAUAUUAGAUGUUUCAAAAGUUAUGAGGGGUAUAUAGGUAAUUAUUCCUAAAAAAAAGUGAAAAUACCUCUUUUACUUCUAACUAAUAAGUAAAUGAGAAAAAUUGGUGACGGUAGAAGGGAUAUUUGAAACGGCAAAAAGUCAAAAUACUUUUGUGACACCCGAAUAGUCUCAUAUUGAAUAAAAAUGGAAUUGUCAUUGGGUAUAUAAAAGGACUCCACCCUAAUAAUAAUAACUGGGCUUAAACAUUUUGGAUCAAUAAUUUUCACCCAACGAGUUAUUGUUGUUAGUGGGUCAGGUCGUUAUAUUUGGUAUCAAAGCCAGUUCACAAGUCGGAAGUGUGAAAUGAGUCUUAGCUGGGCCAAGGUCGGAAUGACAAGCUAAGCCAAGGUCGGUGAAUGACAAGCUAAGUCAGGAUCGGAAUGACAAGACUAGUGAAACGAGUCUCACAUCGCCUGGUGAUCUUGGAUUGUGUGUGUGUUUAGAACUGACGAGAACGUUAGGGCCUAAACGAUGAAAAUGAAAUUAUCAUUGUUAUGUUUGCCGCGAACAAACCGGCCCCGCCACAGGUGUUUCUAGGGCGAGUGGUCAUUCAUGGUACAGAUUAAAUUGUUUAAAUUUUAUUUUAAAAUCAGGAUUAUAGGUUUAUGACUUCCAACAGACUCAAGAAUCUGCUGUUAAUUACCCCACACUUUCAGUAUUAAGGAACCCUCGAUUAAGAGACCGAAUAUAAAUGCUGAUAAAAGAGACCAAGCAGGCAAAUAAAAUUUUAUUAAUAUGAUUUGCCGUGUACAUGGCUUACGCAGGGGCAUUCCCCCACUGUACAUAGAUUUUAUAAAAUUAAAUACACAGUUUAUAGACUUAAUGGUCGAUUAAAGUUGAGAUGCCCAGUUUAGCGACAUGACGGUCGAUUUUGAGUUAAGUUGCUCAGUUUAAUGACAUGGCGGGCGGUUGAAGUUGAGGUGCUCAGUUUAGCGACAUGGCGGUCGAUUUUAAAUUGAGUUGCUCAGUUUAGCGACAUCGCGGUCAAUUUUAAAUUGGAUUGCUCUGUUUAGCGACAUCGCGGUCGAUUUGAGUUUUGGUGCUCAGUUUAAUGACAUGGCGGUCGGUUUGAGUUUUGGUGCUCAGUUUANCGAUUUGAGUUUUGGUGCUCAGUUUAAUGACAUGGCGGUCGGUUUGAGUUUUGGUGCUCAGUUUAGCGACAUGGCGGUCAAUUUGAGUUUGGUGCUCAGUUUAAUGACAUGGCGGUCGGAUGUUCAAUUUAAUGACUUAACAGUCAUUUGUUCAGUUUAACGACUUGACGGUCAUAUUUGAACAUGAUUUGCUCAGUUUAGUCGCUUGGUGGUCGAUUGAAGUUGAAAUGCUCACUUUAGCGACAUGGCGGUCGAUUUUGAAUUGAGUUGCUCAGUUUAGCGACGUGGCGGUCGAAAGGGUUUGAUUUGAUUGCUCAGUUUAACAACUUGGCGGUCAAAGGGGUUUGAUUUGAUUGCUCAGUUUAACGACUUGGCGGUCAAAGGUUCAGUUUAAAUGACUUAAUAGUCAUUUGUUCAGUUUAACGACUUGACGGUCAUAUUUGAACUUGAUUCGCUCAGUUUAGCGACUUGGCGAUCGACUAAAAUUGAGAUGCUCAGUUUAACGACAUGGCGGUCGAUUUUAAAUUGAGUUGCUUAGUUUAGCGACAUGGCGGUCGACUGAAAUUGAGAUACUCAUGAAACUGAUUCACGAAAUUAACUCAUGCUAGAAGCCCAUUUGUAAAGUCCAUUAAAUUAAUUGAUGAAAUUAAUUCAUGAUAGGGGCCAUUUGGAGAGCCCAUUGAAUUGGGUUUAUAAAAUUAAUUUGUGAUAAGGAGCCAUUUGGAAAGCCCAUUAGUUCAUAAAAUUAAUUUAUAACAAGGAGGGCCCAUGAAAUUAAUUCAUAAGAUUAAUUCGUGAUAGGAGGGCCUAUUUGGAAAGCCCAUAAAAUUAAUUUAUGAUUAGAAGCCAUUUGGAAGGCCCAUGAAAUUGAUUUAUGACAAGGAAGGCCCAUAAAAUUAAUUCAUAGAAUUAAUUCGUGAUAGGAGACCCAUUUGGAAAGUCCAAGAAAUUAAUUCAUAAAAUUAAUUCAUAAUAAGGGAUCCAUUUGGAAAGCCCAUGAAUUCGGUUUGGAUUGGAGGUAUUUGAAUGACAUGAGUUUGGUAAAUUUGGUUAGGUUUUAUUUGUGGACUUUGGAUUUUGAAUCAUAUUUGUGGAUUUUGGGUUUUGAGAUUUUGUUUGUUGAUUUUGGGUUUUGGAUCUUUAUUUGUGGACUUUGAAUUUUUGGGAUUUUGUUUGUGGAUUUUGAGCUUUGGGUUGAGAAGUUUAUUUACAUGGAUUUUCAUUUGUUUUGAAUUCAAAUAUGGAUAUGGGUUGAGAUGGAUUUCGGGCUUUAUAUGUUCUAGGCCUUGGACCGGAAUCUACGUGUGGAUUUGGAUUGGUUUUGGACUUUACAUGUUCUGGGCCUUGAACCCGAAUUUGCAUGUGUACUGAAAUUAGUCUUGAACUUUGCAUGCUCUGUGCCCUAGACCCGAACCUGCAUGUGGGCUGAAAUUAGUCUUGGACUUUACAUGCUCUGGGCCUUGGACCCGAACCUGCAUGUGGGCUGAGAUUGGUUCUGAACUUUACAUCUUCUGGGCCUUGGACCCGAAUCUGCAUGUAGGCUCUGCAUGUGGGCUUGGUGUUUUUUUUUUUUUUUUUUUUGGAAUUUUUUUAUUAGAACCAUGAUAGUUCGACCAUUUUCAAUUAUAAUAACUCAAUUCAUACCAAAUUUGUUUCUUGUUUUUUUUUUUUUUUUUUUUUUUUUUUUUUUUUUUUUUUUUUUUUUUUUUUUUUUUUUUUUUUUUUUGGGUUCUCACUGCCGGAAAGAGGAGAGUUUUGGAAACCCAACUUCUUCUUCUUCUUCUUCUUCUUCUUUUCGUAUUUAUUGUAUUUUUAUUUUUAUUUUUAUUUGUUGGUUCUGAGUCUUCUGACUGAGAGAGAGAGAAAGAGAGAGAGAGAGUUAGUUGGAACCCAACUCUCUCUCUCUCUGUACGGAACCAAGAAAGAGAGAGGGAGGGGUGUCCUCCUUUUCUUCUUUUCUUGGUUACUUUUUGCUGAUUUCUUUUUUUUUUUGUUUUUUUUUUUUUAUCCAAAUAUACGAAAUUAAUCACGAAGAUUCGUGCCUAUCACGAAGAUGGCAUAUGGUUCAAGAAAUACCUAUCACGAAGAUGACGAAUCAAAACCAUUUUCGUCUAUUUAUUAUCAUUUUUUAUUAUUGCAUUUUUUUUUAACUCGUUGUUCAAAUACGCGGGUUUAAUCGUGUCGAGCCUAUCACGAAAAUGACUGCUCGAUCAACCCUUUUGACCAUAUCGAGCCUAUCACGAAAAUUGCCGCACGGUUUAUGUAGUAAAAUAAACGGUGCUCGAUCAACCGUUUUGACCAUAUCGAGUAUAUUCCGAAGAUGGCCGUACAGUUUACGUAGUAAAAUAUCCUGUGUUCAAUCAAUUAUUUUGACCAUGUCGAGCCUAUCGCAAAAAUGGCCGCACGGUUAGAGCUUAGCGAUGCAUAUGCACGCCAGAAGUUACGACUUGAUGUCAAAUUUGAUCGGUUCGAAACCUAUCACGAAGAUAGUCGGGUUGAUCAAAUCAACAAAAAAUCGCACUUACGCUAUUCGUAUGUAUGCAUUUCUCUUAUUAUCGUAGAAGUUGUCGUGAUCGCCGACGUCGUCUUCGUGGUGGUGGUGGAAUGCAAGAACCGCAAUCUCUUUUUUUUUUCUUUAUUUUUUUUGGUACGGACAAAGGAGGGGUGCACAUAGCACUCCCUCUGCCAGCAAGACCAAAAAGGGGCUCCCCCCGUGGUACAUGUACACGAGAGAGAGAGAGAGAGAGAGAGAGAGAGAGUAUAUAAUUUUUUUUUUUUUUCUUUCUUCCUCUUCUUUCUGUUCUUUUUUUUCUUUUCUUUCUCUCUCUUCCUUUUCUUCUAUUUUCUUUCUUCUCUUUCAGAUCUCUCCUUUUUUUUUUUUUUUUUUAAGGUCCACUUAUAUUAAGCCUCUAAUGGCUUGUAUUUCUUUUUGGAAAAAUUUUCAAAAGGAAUGGUACCUUGGUUAUACAAGGUAUGAUUUUUUUUAACCCUUUUUUUUGAAUCUUUUCUUUCCCUUUUUUUUUGGAAAGAGGGGUGGGAUAUUUUUCCUUUUUUUUUAUUUCUUCCUCUUUUAUUUUUUAUUUAUUUUUUAUUAUUUUUUAUUUCUUUCAAUUUUUUUUUACUCAAACAUGUUAUAUAAGAGGAUUCCACUCUAAUAAAAAUAACUGAAAAAUCAAUGCCAGUAAAAUAGUAUAUUUAAAAAAGCAAAAUAAUAAUCUCAUAUAGAUAAUGAUUGUUUCUAAUAAUUUACUAAUAAAAUUUAACUCUAAAAAUAUAUUUGAAAGAAUUUGAAACGUUAAAAUGAUAUUUUCAUUAUUAGCCUUUCAAGAAGGAUAAAUAAAAAAGUCAAAAAAUUUUCAAAAAUAUAUAAACAAUUGCCCUAUAUUCUUGGACUCCCACCAAUUCUCUGAACCAGUACAUCUUUUUUCUUUUUUAACUCUGUUUAAGAAUUGACAACACUUAACUAAAAUCUUUGUUGGAUUUUUUUUCUUCUAUUUUUUAUACUGUACUUAUCUAAAUUGUACAUGGACCUCUUGAACUUUAGCUCUUUUACAAGCAGAUAAUUGCAAUUUUACCAAAUAAACUCUUAAAUUUUAUCAAAUAAUCAUAUAAAUCCCUUAAACUUUAUCAAAUAAUCUAAUAAACUCCCUCUCUUUAAUUGGCGUUACUAAUCACACUUCUUUUUAAUUAUGUCUUAAAUAUAAUAUCAUAAGACAAUACAUUAUAUAAAUAUUUACUUUUUCUAUUCUAGUAUAUACAAAAAAAAAGAUACUAAAAAUUAAAAAUAGGUGCACCUUAUUCUUCAAUUCUCAUGCUUAUAUUCAAAUUAUGAAAAAAAAAAAAAUAAAGUAGAUUUCUUUAAAUCCUAUCAAAUUAUGUCCACAACCUGCAAUCAAAACAGUUAUAUAUCUCAAACUUCCAUAGGGAAAAGUUAACUAUUAAACUAUUUGAUAAAAUUUAGUUCUAAUUGGAAAAUUAAAAGUUUAAAUGCCUAUUUACAAAAGAGCUACAAAUCAAGAGCUCUUUGUAUAUUUUUUCUGUUUUAUUUUUUCCAAAUACACCAUUAAAUUAUUUUUUAUUGUUAAUCUUAACGUUAUAGACAAUAAACCUAUUGUUUUAGACAAUAGCUACUUGUUCCGUUAAAAAUUACUGUUUGAAAUAAUAUAGAAUGAAUACGGAUCAAAUUACACAGUCAAAUUAUGUAUUUCUUACAUGAGAAAUAAAGAUCUAACCUGUUGAAAGUGAUUUAGAAAAUAAAAUUGACCAACUAAAAAAACACUAAUUUUUAAAAACCUAUAACUUGAAUUUUCAAAAAUGACCUUUUCAGAAAAUUUGGGAUCGUUGAUUUUCAACACCUCUUGAUGCGUAAAAAAUCGAUUUUCAAAAUUUAAAAUACUUUACAAGAGGUUGAACUAAAAUACUCCCAAAAGCACCAAGAGGGUGAUACUUUUAAAUUUUUAACUUUUGAAUGAAAAAAUGUAGGAUUGAGAUCCUGAUGGUAGGUGAUGAUAGGUGGAAUAAUAUUUGAUCUAAAGACUAUUAAUAAUCAAAAAGUAGAUUCAAGGACUAGAAACUUAAAAGCACCAAAAAGUUGGUGCUUCUAAAAAUAUUCUAUCUCAAUUCCUUCACGUAUACAUUUUAGAUGUUCUUGAUCAUAUUUAAUGUAUAGAUAUUAAUUUUAAAUUCUUUAAAAUUGAAUUUACACUUCCGAAAAAAACUUAUGUAACUUACAUGCGUAUUUUUUGAUCCUAGUCAUAUAGAAUAUAUUUGGCUCAUUUUGAUAAAUAAAAAAAAAUUAAAAAAAAAAAUCUAAACAAAUCUUGAAAAUAGUGUUUUUUAUUAAAAGCUAAAAAAUAGAUGAAAAUAAGUUGAUGGAAGCCUUCUACCAAGGUAUCUUGAAAGCUCAUGUUCCUUUUUUGUUUUUUGUCUAACCAGUGUCUCUUUCUUAAUAAAGAUGUUAAAUUCUAUCUAAACAGUAGAUUUGUUUGACGGUAAUAUGAAAACGAGCAAAUAUCCAGAAAUUUAGUGAUGCCUAUGAAGAAGAAAAAAGAAAAAACCAUGGUGACAAUAACUCGGAGAAAAAUUUGGACAAUAAAAAAUUUGCGAACUAUUCACCUACCUUUCCAAAAUUGGACAAUAUAGUAACAACAAUCUUGAGAUGCAUCCAUUAUUGGAGUAUUGGAGUAUGGGUCUCACCUCAAAUGGACUCUGUGCUGCUCCAAGCCGCAAUUUCUGUUGCUACAUCAGAGUACAGUGGUUGCGCUCACUUGCACUUCAGUGCAAUAGAGCUCAGCCGCGAAAGCCGGGGCCAAACACGCACUAAGAUAUGUUUUCAUAUGAAGAUACCCCUGUAAAAUCUUACAUGAAAUAUUCCUGCAAAUUUUGAAUUUUAGUUUCUACAUCUUGAUACUGAACUGAUCCAUUAGUGCAUUUAACACGAAAGGACUCGAGAAAUAAGACGAAGUUCUUGGAAGUUGGCAUUCUUUAAGUGGCUGUUCAGAUCUAAUAGGCUGCAGAAAUUAGUCAACUCUAAUUUUCUAAAACCUAGUUUAGAUUACACAAUGACUGACUUUCGUAACAGCUCUCGGAAAACUCAAGAGACAUUCUCAGCAUACACUUAAUCAUUAAAUAAAGUCAACCUAGAACAUAAUUAAAUGGAAAGAGUAAGACAUUGCAGUAUUUUACGAUAGAACAACAAAGCAUAAUAACCGAACUAAAUUCUUAAGAAGCCAUGUUAUUUAUGACAUUGUACAUUUCCGUCACAAUAACUAUUUUUCCUUGAAAUAAUGAAACUUUACAUUGAGUACUUUUUUUUCCUUUUGCAGCAGAUUACAAGAAUAACUUAUGCAGGCAAUCAGAUUAUUCGGCCUUGAAUGAGAAGUGAAAUCUCAACUGAUAAAUAGCUCAUUAUUACGGAAAAUUGCUAUUUAAGAUAAACGCACUGGACAACCCCUAGGCAUAAUUUACACAUCAAGCAGAUAAAUGGAUGUGCUAUCUCUGAGGAAUAAUUAGAAACAUCACCUUAUUGUGAAAGGCUUGACGAAGUGGGGAAAGAAAGUUCCUUCAAUUGGUGAGAGUCAACCGGAGACGGAGCCUUGGUUAGGGCGCAUUGAGCAGUUGUGGUUUUUGGAAAUGCUAUCACAUCUCGGAUUGAAUUCGCACCCGCCAAAAGCAUCACAAGCCGAUCCAAGCCAUAGGCAAUUCCACCUGUAAGUAUAUAAUUAUUUGAUGCUGCUAAUGUAAUAUCUGUAAUUUUCCGAUUAAUUCUCACAAAGAAAGAAGCACAGGGGAGGAAAUCAUGGUCUUAAAGAAUGCUAACAAAGCUAAGCAUGAGGAGAUGUGAGAAUUUUAUUACUAUAGUGUGCAGAAAUCAGCAGCACAAGAUUAGGAAGAUCAAGCAUAGUUUCUCUCCCCAAGAAAAUAAAGAAAAAGACAAGGAUUGGACGGUUUCAGGUGAGGGUUUCAAUACCAUGAGGAGGAGCUCCCAUAUCAAAACACUCCAAAAGAUAGCCAAAUUUCUCUUCAGCCUGUAUGCAAAAAUGCAUGUUAUCAACAUUAAGAAGUAUUCAACAAAGCUAAGCAUCAAGAAAUAUGAGUGGGCGAGAGAACACUUAGCGACAGUGCAAACACUUUGCAGAUAAAGUUGCAAAAUAUGAAACCUAUGUUACACGGACAUGAACACGAGAUAUAGAACACGACACAACUGAGACACGGCGACUCAACAACUUAAAAAAAAAAAAAAAAAGGGACUCGGACAAGGCAAGGCCACAAUAAAAUAUUAUUUUCCAAAUAUAAUAUACUGCAUAUAUUAUAUACAAAAUAUUAUAAUAUUUUUUAAUUAGUAGAUAAAUUCUAAUUACAUGCCCUACAAAGUUGGUGCAUGAAUCGAAAAGAUAUUAUCUAUACCAAGUUUAUAAGUACAUCUCAUUCACCACACAGCACAAUAAAAUUUCGAAUCUAAUUUAUUAAAUGUAAAAAUACAUAGAUAUAUUAUAUACAAAAUACUAUAAUAUUUUUAAAUUAGUAGAUAAAAUUCUAAUUAUAUGCCCUACAAAGUUGGUGAACGAAUCGAAAAUAUAUUAUGUAUACCAAGUUAAUAAGCACCUCUCAUUCACCACACUAAUUUAUUAGAUGUAAAAAUACAUAUAUUAAAUAUUAUAUUUUUUGGGUAAUAAUUUAUCAUGGUUCCCGAACCAUGAUAGCUAUCAUAUCAUCGGCCUGAGAUAUAUAUAUAUAUAUAUAUAUAUAUAUAUAAUAUAUAUAUAUAUAUCCAUACAUGAAGACUUUUUAGAUUAUAAAUCUACAAUUCAUCAAGAUUCUCAGUUGUCAUAAUUUUUCUUUGUAACAGGUUAAAUAUUUUNAGAUCUACCCUUUGAUCAUUUUCACCCGUUAGAUUAUACUAUUAAACCAACCACCCACUCAACCCUAGGGGACCACUAUCAAUUUAAUCGGGGACCACUAUCAUCCUAAUCGCACAUCCUUUCAUCCAAAGGCCGAAAACUCAAUAGUACCAAGGGCUUGGUACUAUUGAUAGUAUAGUAGCAUAAAUAUAUAUAUAUAUAUAUAUAUAUAUAUAUAUAUAUAUAUAUAUAUAUAUAUAUAUAAAAUAAUUUUAUAUAUUAAAUAUUAGAGAUCAUAUAUGUUAAAUUAGAUUUUAAUUUUAAAGCAUUAAGCAAAUUGAUUGUGGUGUAUAAUAGAUAAAGAUACACCGGGUGCAAGCAAAACUAUUUCCUAUUACUAAAACACUCGGAAGAUCUUCCUAACAAGGAGAGGGUUCGCGUAAGGGAGUCAUCUACAGGUCUCAAUUUUCUUUUUUUCCCUUUACCAGAUGCGCAGCGAACAAGUGCCCUGGACUGUCCGCUGCGUGUCCCGAGUCCGACACGAGUCGGACGUGGACGUGGCUCUUGGAGCCGCGUCCGUGUAACAUAGUAUGAAACACAAAAUUUCAGUCAAACAUUAAACAGAUAAUAGAAAGAAAAAAGAAAAACAUAAUUGUCGAGAGACGGACCUGCUUAGGGGAGAUGCCAACAAUUUCCAAAAUCUUUUCUUGUACCGCACGCUUAUAAAUUCUCAAACUCCCUCCACCAAUCUAAUUGAUAAUAAAAUAAAAAGAAAAUCAAGUUAAGCUCAUCACUGGAAACUGGGGGAAAAAAUUGCAGCCAAGAACAUGUGAGUAAACACAACAAGAUUCAAACAGCAAAAACAACAUGCACAUGAACCCACAAGAUACACAUACAAACAGUAGUAUCUUUCUAAAAUCAAAACAUAGAAUGAGCUUCUGUUUGUCCGAGCAUGCAGCAUUUUUGGGGCUUUGCACUAAAGCUUAACUUGCCCACAGUGCAGGAAUUAAUAGAGAAGUAACGAUUAGAAUGAUGUUCCACUAAUGCUAUAUCCCCAAUCACAGCCCUCAGAAUAGGCAAAUUAUACAGGUAAACAGAUGAUAACAAAUAAAAGCCCCAAUCUAAAAGUUGAUUGAGAAGAACAAACUAGAGACAGAAAAAGAAAUACCUCAACACCAUUGUAGAUCAUAUCAUAAGCCAAAGCACGAGCUGAAGCGAGGUCAUUCAAGUCUUCAGGAUUUGGUGCGGUAAAAGGAUGGUGAAGGGCCUGUAGAAACCAAAUAAUUAAAAAAAUUUAACUAUAUUGCCAUACUAAUAUACUUUGUCCCACAAACAAAAAUUUCAACAUUCAUGUCUAAUUUCACCACCCAGCCUUAAUAUAAACAGGUUGGAGAACCAUUAUACUAGGAGCUCUUAUCAUUUUCUAAAAAUCUGUAUCACAACUCAAUUAUUCUAUUAUAGACCACGAACAAAAUGAAUAGGUAUCUAUAGGACUAGCUUGCUAGCUCUAGAGUUUCUAGUAAUAGGGACUAGAUUAUUUUUGGCUUUAUUGAUAGGGCCAUUCAACGGUCCAUUGGCAAAACACAAUACUGAACUGAGCACAUGCAUAAGAAAUAACAUACAGGUUUGUACCUGUGCGAUGCAUGGUGAAUGUUCUAAUGAUUUAAUUAUGUUGUAUAAUAUGCAUUCAAAAAAUUAAUUAAUUACUUAUUCUUUUUCAAUCAAUUAUAAUUUGAAAUUAAAAAAAUAAAAAUUAAUAUCUUACAUACAACAUAGCCAAAGAAGGAUGAUUGCUGAAAGAAAUCAUCCAAGAGAAAUAAAAAAUAAAUAUGUAAAGUAAAAAAAGGAAGUUAAUAAUUAUUUGAAGAAAAUUAGAAAAAGAAAAGGAGAAGCAUACAUUGAUCACUAAGAAAACCUGUCACUUUUUUAAUGUAAAAUAACAUCCAUUUUUUAAGAUUUAUAUAAUCUUGAAAUCUAGUCUGGAAUUUAUAUAUUUAUAGCUGAAAUCUAGUUAGUCUAAAUAGAGAUAGAAUAUUAAAGUUAUUUGAUCCAAAUAAAUCCAUCUUAUUAAAAGACACUUUUCUCUUAUUUUAGUAAAUCUAUAUAAUUAUUAACUUUAUUUUGAUUUUUAUUUAGAGUCAAAAUAGUUAGCUAGUCUUAUGAAGUCUAAAUUAAAUAAAAUACUAAGAUAUUUGUAUCUCAUAGAUUUAAAUAUAAUUUAAAUAAAAUACAAAGAUACUUCUAUCUUGUAAAUUUAAAGCUGGGCUGAUAAAAAUAUUUGAAAUCUUUUCAACAGAUCUUCUGCAUUGAUGAUCGCGUGGCUUCAUGAAUUUGCUCUAAAUUCUCUAGUUUUAUAUUUAAUUAUUUUACAUUAUUUAUUAUAUAUUGAUAUUGCUAAUGAUAUAUUGAUUGAUUGAUCGAUUGAUGAUAUCCAUAUAUCUGUUUGGCUUUAAUAAUUUAACUUUGCAGGAUAUAAACCCAUUGUAUAACUUUGUAACCAUUUCUACUUGCAGGAAAAUAUCUAAAACAACAAUAGAAGAGAGAAUUAACCUCGUAUCGCUGCUCAGAAUCAUUCCAUUCAAACAUUGGGAAGUCAGUCACCCAGAGAAUUGAAUGCGAUGACUGCCAAUCAGACAAAAGAAAAAGGAGAAAGAAUAUCAGCAGACAUGCACUUGGUCAAUUAAUGAGCUGAAUCAGAAACGUAAUUCAACAAAGCCCAUGUUGCAAGGGCUAAAAUAAAGAAGACCCCUCUGAAAAUAGUGUCAUUUGUACAUGACCAGAAAACAUACAUUACAUCCCUCAAUCUUUCGACUAUUAGCACUUAAUCACAUUCCUGUCAGAGUUAAAAAGUCAUAAUAUAAUCUUUCCCAACAUAAAAGGGUAUUUUAAUGUCAUAUUUGAAAACUACUUAAAUUCCUGCAUGAAAAAUAGGACAACACAUGAGUGUAAAUAAACAUUGAGGAGAUCAAAUGUAGGCUUUUAUAUUUUAAAAUGGCAAAACUGCAAAUAUGUAUGAAAUGGGUUUUCUACAAUUUAGCCUUUUACAUGAAUGUGCCCGGCAUGUGUAACACUUACAUGGUUUAUCAACCCCAAUUCAUGGGCAAUAAAUAAUCUGAGUCUAUCAAGAGCUUUGUUAACCGUUGCAUGAUGACCUAGUGCAAAUAAUAUAAGGUCGCCAGAAUUAGCAGCGAGAAGCUUCAGCAGUUGCUCUUUCUUUCCAGGUUCCAGACUCGAAAUCAGAGAUGGAAUGCCCUCGAGCUCCCCUAUUGAUCCCAGGAACAACAUAAAAUGUCAAAACGUUAAGCGAAACUGCUAGUAAAUUAGAAACAUAAGAACCUUAACUAAGCUAUUGCACAUUUUAAAAUGAAUAUCUAAACAUUAAAAUUUUUAUUUUCUACCGAACCUUUUGCUGCUUUGAUUUCAAAAUAUUCCAUUACUUCCUAAUAGUUUCCAUCAGAAAGUUAUAAAAUAUUCUUACAAGUGACAAAUAUUCUAUUAGAUAGUGGGCGUGUUUGGCCUAGCUUCCAAAAAGUGAUUCCGAAUCCAAAGUGAUUUUGGACUCAGUAGAGCGUUUGGCAACAAGUGUUGGAAAUCUGAUUCUACUUUUCAGAAUCAAAAAACUGAUUUUUAAGGCCCCAGAAUCAGAAGCAGAAAAAAACUGCUUCUCCAAAACUUAUUCCCGCAAAAUCAGUUUACCCACUUAAAAUUUUUAAUAAAAAAGCCAAACUAACCGUAAACAAAUAACAUAAUUCUAUUCUAUCCUAUUAUAUUCAAUUAAUAUUUUCAACUACCUCUUCUCUCUCUUAUUCACUAUUCCCAACCCAUCAUCCCACAGAUAACUCUUUUCCUUUCUUCCCAACUCCUCUCCAACAAAAUUUUUUCACCUUCCUCUCUUCCCUAACUCCAUCUCUCUCCCUCCUUCCACUCCGGCGAUGCCUUUCUCUCCGGCGGCUCUUUUCUUUCAGGAAAAUCUCCUCUCCAGCGAAUCCCCAAGGUAUUAUAUCUUCCUUUUUUCCUUCUUUUUAACAGAUUACUCUCUCUCUCUCUCUCUCUCUCCCCCCCACCCUUCCCCCAUGGCUCGACCGGAUCUGGCCGGAUCCGCACCAGCGGGAUCCAUCCUUGACCGGAUCAUCCUGGCGAAUCCACGCCUGUAGGAUCCGCCCUUGCCGGAUCUGGCCAAAUCCGCGCAAGCGAGAUCCUUGCCAGAUCCGACCGAAUCCACACAAGCGGGAUCUAUCCUUGCCGAAUCCUGCCGGAUCGGGUGUUGCUGGCGCGGUAAAUGGGAAAGUGGUUACAAAAAAUUAAAAUAUGACGAAUUUCGGUCGAUUAAAAUUUUUGUUUGUAUUUCAACAGAACUUAAAUUAAAUUUGUAUUAAAAAUAUAUUUUAUAUAAAAAAGUAUAAUUUUUAAAUAUUUUAAUUAUUAAGAUAUAUUAAUAAAUUAAUAUAAUGUUUUGUAUGCAAAAUAGUUGGAUUCGAUUUUUUCGUUUUGAGUACAGAAUUUUGAUUCCUCCAGUGGAAUAGUUUCAGCUUUAAAUAAUUGCAUACGGCCUAAUCUGUCAUAUACAUGUAAUUCCAUGUUAGCCGGUUAAAUACACAAAUAUUUCGAUUAUUUGAUUAGUUUGUAGUAUGUAAUGUUUUAAAAUUUUGUUUAGUUUGUAGUAUGCAAUGUUUUAAUUAUUUGUUUAGUUUGUAUGCAAUGUUUCAAUUAUUUAUUUAGUUUGUAGUACGCAAUGUUUCAAUUAUUUAUUUAAUUUGUAGUGCUCCAAUUAUUUAUUAAGUUUUCAUAUGCUUGUAUCUUUUAACACAUAUUUGUUUACUAGAAAGUUGAAAAAGGAAUCCAUCACAAGAAGAACCAUCUGCCCAGAAAGAAAAAAAAAAAAAUUAAAGCUACGUGGGAUGCAUUGUUGCUUAAAAUAUAUUGCAAUAUAUGCGUCAAAGAGGUCAAUACUGGGCUGAGUUCAACACAAGAUGAAGAGUUCAACAAAUGUCAUCAAAAUAUGAACAACGUGCCCAACACCAAAGAAGAUGAAAGCAGUACAAAUAGUUCGGUACAGACUUAUAGUGGAGUAACAGAUGAUUAUAUCACAACCCAAACUCGCGAUCGUAUUGUUGCAUCAUUCAUGAGCACAUUUAGGUAAAUUGUUAUUCUAAUGAAUAUUUAUCAUUAUACACUUUUGUUAUAUAAAAUAGUUACUGAUAACUUGAAAUCUAUUAACAAAUUUAUUAGUAUGUAUUUUUUUUUGCAAGUAUUAGUAUGCGCUUUUUUAAAUAAAUAUUGGCAUGUAAUAUUAAUUAGUUUUAAAAAUUACUAAUGUUAAACAGCAUUACAAAAUCACUUCAACAAAUUUUUUUUACCAAACAGCUUUCUAAAAUCACUUCAUAAUCACUUUUCUAUCAGACAGCCAAACGCUCUACAGCUUUUAACAGAAAUCACUUUUCCAAAUCAAAAUCAAUUCUGUAAAAAUCACUUUUCCAGAAUCUAGGCCAAACGGGCCCAAUGUAUAGUUGGGGAAUGGAGUAGGAAUUGUUGUAAACAUUCCCGCUAUCUCCCCAAACACAAUGGCAGUAUACAAUAUUCCCGUUUAGUAUUAAGGUUGGAAUUUGGAUAUAUAUCCUCUCAAGGCAGCGAUUCCACGAGGUAUUGUGAAAUUUUGUUCCCCGAACCCUCUAUCAAUUACCAAACACUUAAGUAAUAACAUUAAGAACUAAAAUCCUCAUUAGAAAUAUUUUAUUUUGCCAUAUGGGGAAUAGAUUUCCCAAACCAAACACUGCCUUAGGUUACAGAAUGUUCCAUCAAUUAGUCGAAACACCAUUAAGUUUGGGGUUGAGGUAUUGAACUCUGAAUAACUAUAAACUAAGGUAGUCAAAACAAAAUUUCAAAAUUCAGGCAUCCAUUUUAAAACAGAUGUAUAAAAGCCCAUGUAUCAUCACUUCAUGGCUGAACUGCUUACCUCCGUGUAUUAAAAACGGAAUAUAGGGGACUGGGAUCAUAGCUGCCAUCAUAGCAGCCAUAGUGGCCGGUGUGGCACACCUAGCGUCUGCUAUAGCAGAACAAAAGGCAGGUCUAUCUUAGGCCCCAAUUUUCUAAAGAUUCAGUGGGCCGGUUUUGAGCAAAAGUCACUAAAACUUAAGAAACUGUUCUAUCGGAAGAAAUAAAAUACUUGGUGAGUAGCAAGGGAACUAUUAAAUCAUGUUUCUCACAAGAAAUGAAUGAGAAAAUCAGGGUUUUCCUCAUAUAAGGAGAAAAGCAACACGGCGACAAUAGGAUGUCACACCCGGUUGGGCUUCCGCACCGGUGCUACGGCAGGUCGAUUACGCACCUGAUUGGGCUUCCACACCGGGGCAUGACAAAGGGUUUAUCGGUGGCAACUGAGGAUCACUACGGCUACCAAGGAUCACCAUGAUAAGUAAAAACGCAAUUAGGAAAAAAAAAUGUGGAGAAAUUUGAAAGUUCUAUACUUAUAUAUUUGGAACUGCUUUAUUAUUUCUACUAUUGUAAACACAAAUACAAUUAGGAAUAAAUAAGCAUUUAAACAAUUUAUUGUGAAUCCCACCAUGAGCUCAUACCGGCAGUUAUAGCGCCCACCAUCCGCCAUCUGCUUUGACACCCCUAAAUGCUAUGUACCCACUACACGCUAUUUACAACCUUGGUUCACUAAUACACUUCAGUUCUUGAACUUCGCCAUAUAUUCAAAGUUACUCCCUAACAGUUAUAUAAAAUCUAACAGCAGAUGACCUUUUCUUGUGAAAUGGCUAUUUUACCUUCUACAAAAAUUCUCUCUAAUUUAAGUUCACUUAAACAAUUUAAACGAUCAUCUACAGUUAAAAAAUCAUGUGAAUGGUCAAGGAUAUAUAAUGAAGUUCAAAAGCUAAAGUGUUCAAGAGAAAAGUUCAGAGACUAAUUUGCAAUUGGAUAAUGCAGGGACAAUCCAUACAUUUUACUCAUCAAAAUAAGACAAUCCAUACAUUUUACUCAUCAAAAUAAGUGAUAGUGGAAGUUAAAUUUAUUCAUUCUUACCAUUAUUUAAGGAAAAAACUCAAAUAGUUGGCUUACCAUUAUCCAACACCUUUAGAAAAGGCAAACCCUUAGCUCCAGCUUUAAUUGCUUCAUUGUAUAUGUCGCCCUUCUUCAGGGCAGUGUUUGAAAAUCUUUGGGCACCAGAAGACACGCAUAAGGCUUUAAUUAUUCCACCUUUUUCUAAUGAAUCAGCAAAAACCUUGAAGCUGCAUCUACGAAAAAUAUCACUGACCUGCAUUUCAAGAAAAAAAGAAAGGUAAACAAAUUCUAUUUAAACACCUAAAUAAUCAGAAAAUCCAGAAGGUAGUUAACAAAAAAUAUAUAAACAUAUGAGUAGGACUUGUAUGCUGUUAGAAGCAUGGAGGCCUUCGUGCUCCUAAACCGUUUUUGAUGAUUAAACUUCCGAAUCGACGAUCAUCUUCGUUAGACUUGAUCUAACGUAUUUCAAAUAUCGAGAAAAUAAAUUUUGCGGUUUUUCAAUAUCAUUUAUCUAAUGAUCGAAAGAGUUUAAAAUCAACAAUUUUUAAUGAUUGAUGUGUGCCACUUGCAAGUUUAAUGGUGCAGAAAUAUUCAAAUCAGAUAAAAUUUUGAUAGAAAAUUCUUUAUACUAUCUAAAGCAAUAUUAAUAUCUCUAAUUGAAAAUUUUAGUGCUAUAUCAUAACUGUUUGUAAAAUUUUUAUUUUCAACCAUUGAUUUUGAGUCCUUUCGAUGACUAAGUAAAUGAUAUCGAAAAACCACAAUUUAUUUUCUAAAUACUUCAAAUGUGCUAGAUCAAAUUUAACAGAGUCGAUCGUCGAUUUGGAAGUUCCAUUAUCAGAAACAGCUUAGGAGCACGAAGGCUUCCGUGCUCCUAAUAGCACACAAGUCCUACUCUAAACAUAUUAGCGAUCUCUUUAAAAUUAAUAAUUUGAUCUUUCUAUUACAGAUGUAAAGUACGAAGGGUUUUGUGCAUAUAUACCCAUGCAAAUAUGAAACGCCGAACAAUAUCCUUGCAAAUUGGUAGUUAUAUCAGUCGCCCUAAAUUUUAUAUUUAUUUGCAUUCAUGCCCCUUCCAAAGGUACAUUGUUUUUCUGCACAUAUACCUGGCAAGGCCAUAUGAAUGCAUAAGCAAGAAUUCCAAAAGUAUGCAAGCAUAUCCCAGCAAGGGUACUCUGGUAAUCUUAAAUAUUUGCAGGAGUGUAUAUGCAAAAAGAGCCUGAUUGAUAACGGCGCAAAAAUGUACAUGAAUAUCAUAACAAAGAGAGACUCACAUCUUUCAAUUCUAAAUCAAAUCGAAGAUCUGGCCUAUCUGUUCCAUAACGAUCCAUUGCUUCAGCAUAAGUGAGCCUCGGAAAGGGAUUGGGAAGCUCAACGCCUAUUAUCUCUUGAAAGAUCUGAUACAAGAUAGUUCACACAUCAAUGGUGGAACUACAGAAAGAAAAUAGAUAAAUUUUAUAACAAGUAUUAAAUUUUAUAAGUUAUAGCAGGACACAACUUUUAUCAAUAGGAUUUGUGUGUGAACUAUAUAAAGCACAUCAAGUCAAUCAAGAACCAAUAGCUGGUAAGUCUGCCAAACACAUCCCCCCUCCUGCCUCGUACCCCACCCCCCGAAACCCCAAAAGAAAAUUACGAACCAAUAGAUGGUGAGUCUGCCACAACAAAUCCACAUUUUUUAAUCUAUUUCUUCUUCAUCAUUUUAGCAAAUAAAUUACAAUAUUUCAUACUAAAAAAAUUCAAAAAAAUUACUAAAUUUCGUGAUAAAAAAAUUUUAUAUUCAAUACAUGCAACCUAAAUUGUAUAAAAAGAUUAUAUGUAAAAAAUAUUAUAUAAUUUAAUUUUUGUAAUGAGAUUUUACAAAUGUAGUGUAUAGAAUUUAUUUCUACACCCGAUAUAUGGAAUAUUUCUUCUCCACAACUCUAUCAAUUUCUUCUCAACUAUAAAAAUUAUUACGAGCUCUUGGUCUAUUGGUGCAUCACGCGUACUUAAAUUAUUUUUUAAAAAAUAAUAUUAUAAAAUUAAAAUCUAACCAUAUAGUUGUAAUCUACACUAUAUAAAAUGUCUAUAUAUAAAAAUUUGUAGAGUUUAAAAUGUUAUAAUAAGGUUUUAAAAAUAUGGUAUACAAAAGGUAUUUAUAUGUCCGGUAAAACGAAAGCUAGGGCUAGAAUAGCCCUAGGAUGCGUGACCCCCUGAGAAGCGGGGCGUCACAACACAAAACAAUUUUGAACCCACGGAUCCCACCGCAUCUCCCAACGCUGUAAUUCAUCACCGUCACAUCCCGUCACGGAAGCAUAAAACCUACCGAUCGGGGAAUUUGCCUACUUUCUUUUUCCUUCUUUCUCCUUAUUUUACCACCCCGCAGUUUGGAGUUUUUGCACUUUUAUUCCUAUACUUUUACUGCAAGAGUUGUUGUUGCUUCUUUUUCAUCUUCUUUUACUUUUAUUUUUUGUUAUUUUUUAUAUUUAUAUUUAUAGUCGUAUAAAAUUAGCUAAAUAUUAAUUGGUCCUUACAAAAUUUUCUUUGUAUAUAUAUAUAUAUAUAUAUAUAUAUAUAUAUAUAUAUAUAUAUAUAUAUAUAUAUAUAUAUAUAUAUAUAUUGUUUUUAAUAUGUAAAAAAAUUUUGGGCGUGCAAUAUCGUAAAUCGACUCUAAAAUAUGUAUCAAAGAUAAGUUUUUAUAGUAUAAAAAAUUAUUCAAAUAUUCAUAUUAUAUUUUAUCAUAUUAUAAUUUAUUUUACAGUAUUAAUUAUCAAUCAUCUAAUAUUUUGUGCUAUGCUAUGAUGCACAAAUACUCCAAAUCACAACCCGUACCCGUAUUCGAUAAGUAUCGGAUACGGAUAUGCGCCCGAUACCUGCCCGAUACGUAUCGGAUACGGGAUUCAAGUAUCUGGAAUUUUUAAAAAAUUAAAAAAAAUCGGAUACGGGUCGGAUACGUUGGGAUACGGCGGGACACGUUUUGGGAUACGGAUGGACACAUUUCCGGAUACGGACGGGAUACGUAAGACAUAUUAUUGGGUCUAAACGGGUCGGAUUUAAAAAUUUUUAAAAAUACCCGCAUCCAAAACCCUAAGAAACAAAUAAAGCCCUAGUUAUUCCGCUUUUUCUUUUGUAGCGAGAGAGAGAGAAAUACCGAGAGGGAGAAAGAGCACAGCGGUGGCCAUCUUCCUCGCAGCGAGCGGCAGCCUUGCUUGUGGUUUCCGGCAGCAUCUUCCUCGUGGACGCUGCAGCUUGCAGGAACUUGAGGUUCUCUCCUCCCUCCCCCCUCUGCUCCCUCCCCCAUUCAACUUCACAAGCUUUCAAGUUUCAACUCUCUCUCUCUCUCUCUCUUUUAUAUUUAACCCUAUUGGGCAUUUAAAUCUCUAUUUUUCUUUUAAAUACCAUGGGUUUAGAUGUUUAUUAGGGUUUAACUUUUGCUUUUCUUUUUUUUUAAUUGGCCAAUAAUGUUACUACUCACUAACCUACAAAGAUUAUACAAAAUAGCAUAAUAGUAUUUUUUUUCCUCUAUCUUUUUAAAUGCUAGUAUAUUUUUCUUUGAUAAAAUCUUAAAGAUUUAUAUUUCACAUAUUAGAAGUUUAGAACCUUAUAUAGCUAUACUAUUUAAUAGGCAAAAGAUGAUUGCAUGAUUAUUGAUUAGUGAUUACUGAUUAGUGAUUAGUUAUUUUAGGAAUGAAUGUUUAAUUGCAUUGUAUUUUAGGAACGAAUCUUUAGGAAUAAAUCUUUUAUUUUAGGAAUCAUUAGUUAUUCUAUGAAUGAAUCUUAAAGAGGAUCUCACAUCACAUAUGUAAUUGCAUUAUAUUUUUUAUUUUUCUAUAUUGAAAUUGUAUUUCGUUGUUUGUGUUUUAUGUUGUUAACUUGUUAUCAAUAAUGUUAUAUUAAUUACAUGUAUUUAUUUAUCUUGACAUGCAUAGGAUUAUAGAAAAUGAAUAGUGAGAGUCAAGCUUCUACUGAUGGUAGCGGUAGCGGUAGCGGUACAGGAGGUAGUGCUAGUGGUAGUUCAAGUAGUAUUAAUGAUAAUACUCCAUUAUGGAAGUAUGUAAAAAAGGUGGAAAAGUUAGGGGAUGGUGGAGGAAACAUGAGGUUUGAAUGCAAUUUUUGCAAACAAGUUUAUAAUGGAUCGUAUUAUAGGGUCAAAGCCCAUUUGUUGAGAAUUUCAGGACAAGGAAUCAAAGGUUGCUCUAAGGUUACUAGUGAUAAUAUUGCGGAGAUGAAAAAACUUGUUGAAGAGGUAGAAUUAAGGUUAAAGAAUUCUAUCCCUAAACAAGUUCCUUUGCCAAAAACUAUUACCAAAUCUUCUGACACAAGUAUAGAGAGUAUAGGGGUUCAAUCUUUCGAGCCAAGAAAAAAAAGGGCAACAUCAACUCGUGAAGCAACUCUAGAGAAGUCUUUCAACGUGGCGGCUCGAAACCAGCUACAUUGUGAGAUUGCUAGAAUGUUUUAUUCCGGUGGUUUGCCCUUUAAUCUUGCAAGAAAUCCUUAUUAUGUUAGCUCCUAUACUUUUGCGGCUAGUCAUAAUAUUUCAGGUUAUAUGCCUCCCAAUUAUAAUAUGUUGAGAACUAGUCUUCUUCAACAAGAAAGAACAAAUAUUGAGAGGUUAUUAGAGCCUAUAAAAAGCACUUGGAGGGAGAAGGGUUUAAGCAUUGUAUGUGAUGGAUGGACCGAUGCACAAAGAAGGCCGUUGAUCAACUUUUUGGCCGUAACAGAGAGUGGACCGAUGUUCCUAAAAGCGGUCAAUUGCGAGGGGGAAUAUAAGGAUAAAUAUUUUAUUGCUAGCAUGAUUUCGAAAGUUGUUGAAGAGGUUGGACCCCAAAAUGUGGUUCAAGUGAUAACGGAUAAUGCUCCCGUGUGCAAAGCGGCGGGAAUGUUGAUUGAAGCGCAAUUUCCUUCAAUAUUUUGGACUCCUUGUGUUGUGCACACAUUGAACCUUGCAUUAAAAAAUAUUUGUGCGGCUAAGAAUACCGAGGCCAAUGAAAUUACUUUUGAUGAAUGUAGUUGGAUUACUAUCAUAGCGGAGGAUGUAGCAUGCAUCAAGAAUUUUAUCUUGAAUCAUUCCAUGAGGUUGGCAAUAUUUAAUGAGUUUGUCAACUUGAAAAUGCUUGCGGUGGCCGAGACUCGAUUCGCUUCGGUAAUCAUCAUGCUAAGAAGAUUCAAGCAAAUCAAACGGGGUCUCCAAAAUAUGGUCAUUAGUGACAAAUGGGCUAGCUAUAGGGAGGAUGAUGUGGGGAAAGCACAAUUUGUAAAAGAUAGAAUUCUCAAUGACUUGUGGUGGGAUCAAAUUAACUAUAUUCUUUCUUUUACCGAACCUAUAUAUGAGAUGCUUCGGAUUGCCGAUACCGACAAGCCUUGCUUACAUUUAAUGUAUGAAACUUGGGACUCCAUGAUAGAAAAGGUGAAAGUUGCUAUAUAUAGGCGUGAAGGAAAGAAAGAAAAUGAGGAAUCAUCAUUUUAUUCCGUUGUGCACAAAAUUUUGAUUGACCGAUGGGCUAAAAGCAAUACUCCACUUCAUUGCUUGGCACAUUCUUUGAACCCUAGGUAAUUUUUUUCCCCUAAACCUUAUGUAUACUUUUGUUCAUUUGUAUUUUGUAAUACAACUAUCAUAUCCUAAUUUUUAUUUUUCUUAUAUUCAUUAGAUACUAUAGCUCAUCGUGGCUUAAUGAGGAUCCAAAUCGAGUUCCUCCGCAUAGGGAUUUGGAGAUAUCAAAGAUGAGAAACAAGUGCUUAAAAAGAUUUUUUCCAAAUAAUGAAGAAAGAAGAGUUGUAAAUGAGGAGUUUGCAAAUUUUUCUACUGCCGGAGAGGGAUUUGAUGAGCACGACUCUAUUGAAGAUAGGGGAGUUCUUGACCCAAAGAAGUGGUGGGUCAUCCAUGGUGCGGCAGCAUCUAUGCUCCAAAAUUUAGCCCUAAAGUUACUUGGCCAACCUUGCUCCUCUUCAUGUUGCAAGCGGAAUUGGAGUACCUACUCAUUCAUUCACUCCAUAAAGAGGAAUAAGAUUACGCCACAACGAGCCGAAGAUUUAGUAUAUGUACAUACUAAUCUUCGCCUUUUAUCAAGGAGGGCUCCAGAAUAUAUAAAAGGAGAGACCAAGAUGUGGGAUGUUGGAGGAGAUUCUUUCGACACAUUUGAUAGUGUUGGUCUUCUUGAAAUUGCAAAUCUUUCACUUGAUGAGCCGGAUUUGGAGAGUGUGGUAUUUAUUGAUGAUUCAAAUGAGAAUGAAACUGAACCAAAUUGAAGUCUUUUGAUGAAAACCCUCUCCUUUUCCUUUUGUUGUUUUGGGUGUGAACUAUGCAUGUAAGUCAUAAGAUGUAAAGAUGAAUAUCAUGAUGUUUUGUGGUCAGUGAAUGAUUGAAUGAAAAUACUAUAUUUGUUUUACUUUUACUCAUUUGUUUAUUUUUUAUAUUUCAAUACAUCAUGACAUAUUAUCAAUGUAAAUUUAUUAUACAUAUUAAAAUAAUAUUUUAUUUAAAUACUCCCAGCGUAUCGUAUCCUAGAGUUUUGGGACAAUGCCGUAUCGCCGUGUCCGUAUCGUGUCGUAUCCGUAUCCCCGUAUCCGUAUCCGUGCAACAUAGGUGCUGUGUAUAGAGCAUUAAAUUAGUACAUAGCAAGCGUAAGAAAAGAUUUCUCCUCUCUUGGAAUUAUGAUGCAUCCUAUUAAACAUCCGCUGCACAGUGUAUAUAUGUACAUACGCCACAUGCUUAAAAUAUUUUAAUAGAGUUUAUAAAAUUAAUCUUAUUAAAUAUAAUUUAAAUUAUUAGACUUUAUAGGUCAGAUAUAUUUAAUUAAAUUUUGAUAUUAAAGCAAUAGUCAUCUAAUAUAAGUUACGGUGCAUAGAGUAUUAAUAUACACUAGGUGCAUGUAAACUCCCAUCAAUUUUAACAAAAUAAAAACACUCUUGUCAAUUGGACUACUUGAUGACCUAUACGGUCGGUAUGCCCUGAGGGGCAGGAUUGUCGGCUAGUUGCCGACGGUUGGCCAUUGAGCAUAUCAGCAUUGAUCGCCCAAUACUCGUACGCAUUUCACGAACACCAGCGGUCUGAUCCACUACAAGAGAGUGUUCUUUUCCGGAAAAAUGGUUGCAGGUGCCAACCCGUGAGCCCAAGAGGGAUUAGAUGCAGGUAGAGUAGCAGUGGCACAGGCUUAAGGUUUGCGGUGUGGACCAACAAAGCAUUGGUUUCAGAUUGGGUAUUUUGGACUUGUCAUCUGGUUGAUGCAUUCAUACAGUAGCGGUAGUUGUUCUUAUACAUCAUGUUCAUGUAUUAUUAUUGCUACUGUAUUACACUUACCCAUACCUUUGUUUAUUCUCCGUAACUGGUGAAUACCCCUCGCCCUCGUCGGCUUGCGGCACCCACUGGGAGGGGAGACAUGUUUACAUGUUCUCACCCCCCGCCCCCAUUUCAGGUGACGUCGCAGGUCCUAGUGGGACAAUUCGUUAGGAGCGCAGUUAGCGAUCGAUAGAGCCACCGUCCCGCCAUUUUUGGUUUAACUUCUUAACUCAGUUUCCAUUAAUAAUUAACUUAGACAGUUUAAAUGGUUAAGUAUCUUAUUAUAUUUGGAUAUUUGAGAUUUGCAUGCAUGUAAUAAAGGAUUUGUGAGUUUUCGUGAAAUGGAAAUGGUUUUCUACUCCUCAUGGUAGCGAGUUUUAAAAGAAAAAGAUUUCCGUGUGGGAAACGAGUUUUAAAAGGUUUUCUCGUGGUUUUUCGUGACUCAGUAUUUCAAAACCAGUUUUCGGGUAUGAAACAUUUUAAACUAAUAGUUGUGGAUUUAUAAUUAAAACUCUGUUGUGAAUGGUGUAUGAAUGUAUGGAUGUUUGUAUAUUCAGAUGUGGUGGUUGUAUACUGUUUAUAUAUCUUGUACUUGUGCGACGCCGAGCAAAUACAGAGGAGACUCUGUCCCUGUGAACAGUGAACUCCCUAUAUUUGUGGCGGAUCUGGCAUACCUUAGGGGUCAGGUUUUCAAAAAAAAAAAAAAUUUUGGGCAUUUCCACUUUGUUUUAAACCAAAAUGGGACCCCGAGUCGUGACACACCUAUUCUUCAAUUUGAAAUAAAUCCUCCAACUUUAUCUUUUAGUUAAAAAAAUUUAUUUAUAGAAUAGUUAUCAAAAUUAUUAAGUUUAAUUGAAUUUUUAAAUAAAGUUAUUAGAAUAAUUUAACUCUACAAAUAUUAAAAGUUAUAGAAAUAUUAAUAAAAAAGGUUUUUUCUUAUAAUGUACAUAAGACUACUUUAUAGAUUUUUUUAAUUUCUUUAGCUAUAUUUUUUCAAUCUUAAAGUUUUAAUAUAUAUAUAUAUAUAUUGGUUGAAAUAGUAUAUGUCCGCUAUGAAGCACGGGCUCCACAUUAGUGGCACAUAUUAAAGUACUGGAAUCCCCAUGUUACACAUAUUAAUGUGUAUUCAAAACCUAAUUAUUGCGUUUUAAACCCCUCGAAAGGUGAAAGCUACAUAAAUGCCCUUCCAAGUAAAUUAUCUAAUUUAAUCAUCUACUGAAUGAGCACAAACUUCUUCUAAAAUUCUAGAAGGAUAGGAUAGGAGUUCCUGAUGUUUAAUGUACAAAGAAGAAGCUAUCAGAGUUUUGGGGAGGGAUAUGCAGAUUUCAACUUUCUAUGGAUGUCGCGAGCAUUGCAAAGAAUCAUAGAUGCAAUAUAGAAUCUUGAUAUCCAAAUCAAUUGAUUAUGAAUAUAAUUUUUUUUUAACUAACCAAAUUGAGCCCAUCUUCUUUGGCAUUUCAAAACAGUCUGAAUAAAAGAAUACCGGUGAGAGAAAAAUCAACUCACAUGUCUCAUUAAGUCCUCAUUAAGUCUCAGCAUGUCUUCCAAUGGUGUAAAAGCCAAUUCCAUAUCCAAUUGUGUAAACUCUGGCUGCCUAUCGGCUCUCAAAUCUUCAUCUCGAAAGCACCUAUGGAAAAAAAGAAUUAUCAAGUACACAACAAAAGGAAAAAGAAUAAUGACAAAUCAAAGACUUUUAAAUUCUUAAGUUGAGUGAACUUCUACUUUCCAUAGAUUUUUUUUAUAGGGUUAUUUGCAUACACGUCCCUGCAAACAUAGUGAAUUGUGAAAAUAUCCCUGCAAAACGGAAACUCCAUAAGUUGUCCCUGCAAAAGUCCUAAGUUAUGCAGAUAUGUCCCUCCGGUUAACAUCCGUUAGUGAUCUGUUUAUUUUUUAACAGUGGAUUCGUGAAAUGACCAUUUUACCCUCACAAAUAUAUCCCUCCAAAAGUUUUCCUCUUCCCUUCUCUUUCUCUUCCUCUUCGGAUCGUCGCAGCGGACGACGGUGGCGGCGGCGCGGGGUCGGGUUCGCCGGCGACGAAGAAGAGGGAAGAACGCCGGGGCAUCGGAGCUCGUCGCCCUCAACGCCGUCCCCUCCCUCGUCGGCCUCCUCGGCCACGACAUCGCCGACAUCGCCGUCGACGUCGUCUCCCUCCUCACCGACCUCACCAACGCCGACGUCCUCGGCGACCACGACGACCCCGCGCACGCCCUCGUCGCCGCCCUCGUCGACAACAACACCCUCGAGCUUCUCGUCCAGAAACUCGCCCGCCUUUCCGAGGCCGACCCCGACGAGGUUCUUCUCCCUUGCCGGUGACGAAGAAGAGGGAAGAGGAAGAGGAAGAGGAAGAAGGAAGAAGGAAGAAGGAAGAAGGAAGAAGAAGGGAAAAGAGGAAAAAGGAAGAGGGUUCGCCACCGUCGCCGCCGCAUCUCCUCGCCGGCGACGACGAAGAAGGAAGAGGAAGAUGAGGAAGAGGAAGAAGGGUAAAUACGUCAAUUUACACUAUAAUUAACCAUGGUUAAGUAUUUUAACCGUGGUUAAGAAAAAUUUUCUAACAGAUCUGGACGGCAAGGACAUAUCUGCAUAACUUAGGACUUUUGCAGGGACAACUUAUAGAGUUUCCAUUUUGCAGGGAUAUUUUCGCAAUUCACUAUGUUUGCAGGGACGUGUAUGCAAAUAACCCUUUUUUAUAUAUAGUAAAAAUGGGGAAAAGAUCCCAAAUUUAGUACAAACACAACUAUACAAAAUGUUUAACUAUACAAAAUGUUUUCAUAAGUCAGAUUUAGUUAUAAGACUAACUUCAAGAUUUUACUUUACCCAAGGAACUUCUAUUGACAGAUAUAAAGUAAAAGAAAAUAUAUAAAAAACAAAUAUUAUCACCUUGCAAUCUGAUAAUAUUUCUCAAAUCCAGAGACCAUCAACAUUUGCUUGAACAAUUGCGGGCUUUGAGGUAAAGCAUAAAAUGUUCCUGGCUUCAUAAAUUAUACCCGAGCAAAUGAAGAGACCAAGUAUUUGAUGUAAAAAACUUGAAUAAGAUGUAUGUAACUUGAAUGAGAUGUAAAUGUUAAUAACACAACAUAUGGCUACGCACAUGUCAAACUUCAGAGAAAAGUAGUCAUCAUGAGAAAAGCUUUGAUGACUGAUGGUAUAAUUCCUUGUGAUGCAUAGGUCUUAUUUUACCAACAGAUGCAUAGACAACAAACUCUAGAAAUCAAAUGAGCAGACGCCUUCAUCAUAAAAUGAAGCAUCAAGACACUAAUAAGAAGAAAAGAUAUUAUGCCAAAACUAUGAAGAUAGUAAAACUUCAAAAAAUAAUCUUUUAGUUACAAAAUAUAGUUACUUGUAGACAAAAAGUCAACUUUCGACAACCACUUAGAUAAGAUUACUAAUACAUUCUUGUCCCCAAGUCAAAACAGGCAAAGUGAAUAAGUAGUUUAGAAUCCAAUUUACACGAGAAAAUGGUUAAAAUUGAAAGUAUGGCUGUAAAAAGGCCAACCUCAUCAAUCAUAACAAAGCCCUACCUCAGGAAAUCGGGAUCAAAAUAUAAUUUGGCCCUUAAAGCGGUAAUGUGAUUCCAUUGCCAUAUAUUGAUAGACCCAAGGAGGUGCAAAUGACCCAUCAGGAAAUGGAAUCUAUCUUCAAAAGCACCAGUCGACUUUUAAAGUAUUUUGUGAAGACAAUUUUUUCCUUAGCUAUUUUUAGUUGAUUGUAUAAUAAGCUUAUAACUAAUCCACUCCCUAGACCACAAGUUAUUGGAUAAGUGGCUUCUUCGGCCUGUCCAUUUUUCCUCCUAGUAAUUUUCUGAAGCUAAAAGCUUGUGGUGCCACAAUCUUUUGUAUUCAUAAACAAAAUUGAGGCAAAGAUAUUUUUUAUUCCUUAAAAUGUCCAAAAAAUCAGUGCAUAUGCUCCAAGGAGCUCAACCGGUAGCUCAUCAGUUUAUAUCUGGAAAAGAAGUUAUUCUACAUUGAGUUGUUCUGAAGUAAAGAUAGAUUGAAAAGAGUCUCACGCACUUUAUUUUUUCAAACAACUUGCAACCAUUAUAAUAGUCUAGAAAGAAAAAGUCAUCAUUCUAUUCUGCCUCCAAAAUCUGUAAUUAAUUUUUUCAACAGCUAGCUAAAAUGCAGCCUCCAAUGAAAAUAGCAGCCUUGGCAUUUUGCUCCCUUGAAAUAUAGAAAUUAUAUUAAACGCCCUUAAUUAUAAAACUAUUAGCACCUAAUCCAUCGCAGUCACAUUUUCUGUCCAGGAAUUGUUGUAACUCUUAAAAUAUAAUCAUACAUAUCAUGGAAAGGUAUAAGUAAAAUAUAAUCAUACAUAUCAUGGAAAGGUAUAAGUGGAAUAAUAUCAUACUUUAUGACAACAUUACAAGUCCUAAACUUAAAAUGUGAUAUGAAUGCGAUAAACUGCUUACUUUAGCACAUUAAGGGGGUUAAAUGUACGUUAUUAUACUUCAAUAAGGCAAUGUUCAAAUAAUGCUAUUUGGGAAAGUUUGGGGUGGGGGUGAGUGGGCCUACAAUUUUAGUAAUUUAGCCUAUAACUUAUGGUGAUUUAUCCUUUCUAUAAACUGUUAACAAAUGAACAAAGACAAUAACGUUCAACGUUCUGAAACAAGAAUCUAAUUGCAAUGAUAAGAAGCUUUAUCAGUAUGCCAAACACAAAUGCUUCUAAUGAACUGGAAGAAUUGCACAGAGAGAUUAUACCUGAACUCGUGACGGCACAAGAUAGUCGCGAGCGCCUUCCGGUGUCGAUCUAGAUAAUAUUGGAGUCUCAAUCUACCUUAUGACACAUAACAAAUUCUGAUCAGGUUAAAGCAAAACAAAGCGUGCAGCACAUUGAAUAGAUAUCAGUUAUAUGCAAACUAAAUAAGAAAAUUAUAAUCUUAACAGCAAAAAAGUAGGUGUUUCUUAACAUACUCAGGCAGUCUAUGAUAGGUAAUGUAAGCCUUCUGUGAUCAUGAGUUACAGCUAAGACUAAGAACAAUAAUAGGAACUGAAUAUAAGAUGUUAGUCUGUUACAAUAGCCCAAAGUCAUUUUAUAUUUAGAACUCUUAGAGUUGGCCAGGUUUCUUACUGAUCGACAUAUAAAUUAUCAUCCCAAUUGAACCUGAGGCAAAAUUAAACUAUUUAUGCCAUGUAGUUUGAAAAAAAUAAAGAAGAUAAUUCCUGGAUAAGAAAUUCAAGAAACUAAAACAGGAAGAAAAAUAUAAAUUCUUAAAAUCCAUACCUCCACAAAAUCAUAUUUAUCCUCUAAGUACCGCCGUAUGAGCUUAACCACCCUAUGACGCAGCCUUAGAUUUGAUUGCAUCUGCUGCCGCCGCAGGUCAAGUACUCGAAAUCUAGGACAUUUCAAACAGAUCUCUUAAUUUGGAAAACGUUGGUAGAUUAUUCAUCGCCUCAAAGAGUACAGCAAAUUUGUACAUAUUAUAUAGUCAAAUGAAGUAAAAAACUGCUGCAUUAUAUAUAUCUAAAAUGGAAAACAAAAGAAAGGCAAGAAACUAAGGAAGACAUAAUAGACAUCAGAUUACAAUGAUAACUAAUCACAACACAACCAGCUAAUUAGACACCAGAAAUUGAUAUUAGUAGUUGUUGACCCAUAGGUGUGAGAGAGAGCUUUUUGGAAGUGAACUCAAAGAUCGCAUGAAACACUUGAUUUUGAGAAUCUAUUCUAGGGCUGCAGCAACUACCAGAACUACACAUUUCUCCAUUUAACGAACAGAUUUGAGAUACUUUACAAACUAUUCUUUCCUCCAAUUAUUGCAUCAAGCAUCAAUAAGUUUGGAUAGCUGAAAGUCCCAAGUAAAUCCCUUAGCAAGCAGUGAACAAGUUAGAAACUAUAACAAGCAGAUUGAUGGUAGCUCUAUCCAACAUAUUUUGAAAGAGAAAAAAAACUGCUAAAAUAACUACUAACUCCAAAUGGGCAUGUUAGCAAAACACCAUUUCUAAGAUUGAAAUCUGAAAGACACAAUGAAUUCAGCACUUUCAAUUCUAUUCCUUCCCUUAACAAGAUAAAAUGAAGAUUCAUUGUUUCUCCCACCCUCUAAGCAAGUGUAUGGUUAAAGGAUCUUUAGUUCUUUACUCCGUCAUAUUCCAAAUGCAAGUAGGCUUUACAAAAUGCAACUUUUCUUUCCCAGUUCACCUAACAGACUAUCUAACCUAUUUAAAGUCUUCGAAUAGAGUUUUCAAGUUGAAAAUGUUUGCAUGUUUCAAGAAGAUACAUAGACAAGGUACAUACAUUUGUAAACAUGAGAAAAAAGGAAGAAUAUUGUAAGUUCUUUCCAUUCCCAGAUUAUAUCUACUUUUGAGAGAGGUGAAAAAUCAUUGGCUGAAAUCAUGUUACAGUAUUGCAACUCUUGAACAUUACUACAAAUAAAUUUUCAAGCAAGAAUGACAAUUAGAAUGAGUAUUGCAUAAAACAAGAGUGAACCACAGAUAUACAAAU
rnacentral:lncRNA from 1 species